rnacentral:pre_miRNA from 12 species
CUCCUGCCCCGCGGACAGUCAGCAGUUGGUCUGUGUGAGCGGCCGUUCUCAGAUCACCUCUUGGCUGUGGGUGGUGCAGGGAG